UACGAAGGGUGCAAGCGUUAAUCGGAAUUACUGGGCGUAAAGCGUGCGUAGGCGGUUGGCUAAGUCAGAUGUGAAAGCCCUGGGCUCAACCUGGGAAUGGCAUUUGAAACUGGCCGGCUAGAGUGUGAUAGAGGAUGGCGGAAUUCCCGGUGUAGCGGUGAAAUGCGUAGAUAUCUGGAGGAACACCGGUGGCGAAGGCGGCAUCCUGGACCAACACUGACGCUGAGUGAGCGAAAGCCAGGGGAGCAAACGGG
rnacentral:rRNA from 1 species